rnacentral:rRNA from 1 species
AUUGAACGCUGGCGGCAGGCUUAACACAUGCAAGUCGAGCGGAGAUGAGGUGCUUGCACCUUAUCUUAGCGGCGGACGGGUGAGUAAUGCUUAGGAAUCUGCCUAUUAGUGGGGGACAACAUUCCGAAAGGAAUGCUAAUACCGCAUACGCCCUACGGGGGAAAGCAGGGGAUCUUCGGACCUUGCGCUAAUAGAUGAGCCUAAGUCGGAUUAGCUAGUUGGUGGGGUAAAGGCCUACCAAGGCGACGAUCUGUAGCGGGUCUGAGAGGAUGGUCCGCCACACUGGGGCUGAGACACGGCCCAGACUCCUACGGGAGGCAGCAGUGGGGAAUAUUGGACAAUGGGCGGAAGCCUGAUCCAGCCAUGCCGCGUGUGUGAUGAAGGCCUUUUGGUUGUAAAGCACUUUAAGCGAGGAGGAGGCUACCUGGAUUAAUACUCUAGGAUAGUGGACGUUACUCGCAGAAUAAGCACCGGCUAACUCUGUGCCAGCCGCCGCCGUAAGAC